CUGGUCGUCCCUCUGGUGUCCUCUAGCGCCGAUUCUCCUCCACGGCGGCGCUGCAAGGCGAUGCAGGUUGGUGUUUUCGGACCCGGUCGGAAUUCCUUGUUCCGACGUCGGCAAGGCUUCGAGUUUCCUUGGUUGGGCUCAGAGAAGCCUCGCCGAUCGAUCCUUGGUGUUUGUUUGGAUCGAUUCACAUGAAACUUCGAUCAACUCAGUUGGGAUUACUGUUCAGGGCUUGUGAGGGGUUAAUCUUGCAGGUCAGGGAAAUCGUGGCUGAAGCUGAGGUAUCUAGUUGGCAGCAGAACUGGUAGGAAGCAAAUUUGAUCUGGCUUUACCAUUGCUAUGACUUCCGCUUUGUAGUGAACUCUGAGGAGUAUUUACGUUUUAUUUUGUGAUGGCAAUUUAAUUCGUAAACUUAUGUAAUAUAUAACUCUGUUGAGCGAGUGUAUAUUAACUUGGAUUGGUUCAGGGCAUCA